rnacentral:rRNA from 1 species
UACGUAGGGUGCAAGCGUUGUCCGGAAUUAUUGGGCGUAAAGAGCCCGUAGGCGGUUUGUCGCGUCUGCUGUGAAAACUCGGGGCUUAACCCCGGGCCUGCAGUGGGUACGGGCGGACUAGAGUGCGGUAGGGGAGACUGGAAUUCCUGGUGUAGCGGUGAAAUGCGCAGAUAUCAGGAGGAACACCGGUGGCGAAGGCGGGUCUCUGGGCCGUAACUGACGCUGAGGAGCGAAAGCGUGGGGAGCGAACAGG